rnacentral:rRNA from 1 species
UACGUAGGGCGCAAGCGUUGUCCGGAAUUAUUGGGCGUAAAGAGCUCGUAGGCGGCCAGUCGCGUCUGCUGUGAAAUCCCGGGGCUUAACCCCGGGCCUGCAGUGGAUACGGGCUGGCUAGAGGCAGGCAGGGGAGAACGGAAUUCCCGGUGUAGCGGUGAAAUGCGCAGAUAUCGGGAGGAACACCGGUGGCGAAGGUGGUUCUCUGGGCCUGUACUGACGCUGAGGAGCGAAAGCGUGGGGAGCAAACAGG